GUGCUCGCUUCAGCAGCACAUAUACUAAAAUUGGAACGAUGCAGAGAAGAUUAGCAUGGCCCCUGUGCAAGGAUGACAUCCAAAUUUGUGAAGUGUUCCAUAUUUUU
rnacentral:snRNA from 1 species